GACGAACGCUGGCGGCGUGCUUAACACAUGCAAGUCGAACGGUAAGGCCCCUUCGGGGGUACACGAGUGGCGAACGGGUGAGUAACACGUGGGUGAUCUGCCCUGCACUUCGGGAUAAGCCUGGGAAACUGGGUCUAAUACCGGAUAGGACCACUGCCUGCAUGGGUGGUGGUGGAAAGCUUUUGCGGUGUGGGAUGGGCCCGCGGCCUAUCAGCUUGUUGGUGGGGUGAUGGCCUACCAAGGCGACGACGGGUAGCCGGCCUGAGAGGGUGACCGGCCACACUGGGACUGAGAUACGGCCCAGACUCCUACGGGAGGCAGCAGUGGGGAAUAUUGCACAAUGGGCGCAAGCCUGAUGCAGCGACGCCGCGUGAGGGAUGACGGCCUUCGGGUUGUAAACCUCUUUCAACACCGACGAAGCGCAAGUGACGGUAGGUGCAGAAGAAGGACCGGCCAACUACGUGCCAGCAGCCGCAGUAA
rnacentral:rRNA from 1 species